CCUUACCUCCCAUGGUUUCUGCACCUUCAUUUCCAAAGCCCUGGACAACUUUCAGGAAGACAGUUCUGGUCUGUAGCAAUUAACACAUGGUCAUCCUCAGAAAAAGGAGAUACCCAUAACUUAAAAUGCAGGAACCAAGAGAUUUGAGCCUAGACAUUUGGAUGAAAAGCGAUUUCCACCUGGAGAAAGUCACUGCCCUUCUGUGCAGAGUACCAUUGUGUCUUGAAUCCAGCUUGGCCAUAAGGAAAUGGGGCGAGACUUUGUCAUGUAUGUCGCUGAAGUUCAGCUAUGCAAAAAUGUUCACCUAUCCUUGAUCAACCAGUCCAGGAACCAUCAAAGAAGAAAAUGAGAUUCGACUUAGAAGACCUGUUCUUUAUAAACCCCUGCACAGCCCUAAUGAUCAACACCACUUCCAGUGCUCAUAAAUUACUGCUUCAAUAAUUGUUCUGCAAUUCUGCCUAUUCUCAUUGAAUGCUUCGUAUAAUCCCUUUAUUUACUUUGGGCUACGAU
rnacentral:lncRNA from 10 species